rnacentral:rRNA from 1 species
UGGGGAAUCUUGGACAAUGGGGGCAACCCUGAUCCAGCCAUGCCGCGUGGACGAUGAAGGCCUUAGGGUUGUAAAGUCCUUUCGCCGGGGAAGAUAAUGACGGUACCCGGUAAAGAAGCCCCGGCUAACUCCGUGCCAGCAGCCGCGGUAAUACGGAGGGGGCUAGCGUUGUUCGGAAUUACUGGGCGUAAAGCGCACGUAGGCGGAUCAGUCAGUCAGGGGUGAAAUCCCGGGGCUCAACCCCGGAACUGCCUUUGAUACUGCUGGUCUGGAGGAUGGGAGAGGCGAGUGGAAUUCCGAGUGUAGAGGUGAAAUUCGUAGAUAUUCGGAGGAACACCAGUGGCGAAGGCGGCUCGCUGGCCCAUUACUGACGCUGAGGUGCGAAAGCGUGGGGAGCAAA